rnacentral:rRNA from 1 species
CUGCGAUAGGGGGACGAAGAAGGUUAGCUCGGCCGGGUGUUGGAUGUCCCGGUUUAAGCGUGUAGGCGUGCUGUCUAGGCAAAUCCGGACGGCUUAGCUGAGGCGUGAUGACGAAGACCCUUUGGGUCUGAAGUGAGUAAUACCAAGCUUCCAGGAAAAGCCUCUAAGCUUCAGUUCACGAUUGACCGUACCGCAAACCGACACAGGUGGGCAGGAUGAAAAUUCUAAGGCGCUUGAGAGAACUCAGGAGAAGGAACUCGGCAAAUUGACACCGUAACUUCGGGAGAAGGUGUGCCCUUAGUAGGUGAAGGCCCUCGCGGCUGGAGCCCAAUGGGGUCGCAGAGAAUCGGUGGCUGCGACUGUUUAAUAAAAACACAGCACUCUGCAAAGGCGAAAGCCGACGUAUAGGGUGUGACGCCUGCCCGGUGCCGGAAGGUUAAGUGAUGGGGUGCAAGCUCUUGAUCGAAGCCCCGGUAAACGGCGGCCGUAACUAUAACGGUCCUAAGGUAGCGAAAUUCCUUGUCGGGUAAGUUCCGACCUGCACGAAUGGCGUAACGAUGGCCACACUGUCUCCUCCUGAGACUCAGCGAAGUUGAAAUGUUUGUGAAGAUGCAAUCUACCCGCGGCUAGACGGAAAGACCCCAUGAACCUUUACUGUAGCUUUGCAUUGGACUUUGAUGAGACCUGUGUAGGAUAGGUGGGAGGCACUGAUGCGCGGAUGCUAGUUCGCGCGGAGCCAACCUUGAAAUACCACCCUGGUGUCAUUGAGGUUCUAACCUUGGACCGUGAAUCCGGUUCGGGGACCGUGCAUGGCAGGCAGUUUGACUGGGGCGGUCUCCUCCCAAAGCGUAACGGAGGAGUACGAAGGUACGCUAGGUACGGUCGGACAUCGUGCUGAUAGUGCAAUGGCAUAAGCGUGCUUGACUGCGAGACUGACACGUCGAGCAGGUGCGAAAGCAGGUCAUAGUGAUCCGGUGGUUCUGUAUGGAAGGGCCAUCGCUCAACGGAUAAAAGGUACUCUGGGGAUAACAGGCUGAUUCCUCCCAAGAGUUCAUAUCGACGGGGGAGUUUGGCACCUCGAUGUCGGCUCAUCACAUCCUGGGGCUGUAGCCGGUCCCAAGGGUAUGGCUGUUCGCCAUUUAAAGUGGUACGUGAGCUGGGUUUAAAACGUCGUGAGACAGUUUGGUCCCUAUCUGCCGUGGGCGCUGGAGAUUUGACGGGGGCUGCUCCUAGUACGAGAGGACCGGAGUGGACUUGCCUCUGGUGUACCGGUUAUGACGCCAGUCGUAUCGCCGGGUAGCUAAGCAGGGAAGAGAUAAACGCUGAAAGCAUCUAAGCGUGAAACUCACCUGAAGAUGAGAUCUCCCGGGGACUUGAUCCCCCUGAAGGGUCGUGGAAGACCACCACGUUGAUAGGUCGGGUGUGGAAGCGCAGCGAUGCGUUAAGCUAACCGAUACUAAUUGCCCGUGCGGCCUGAUCCC